GUAGGCGUGGCCGAGUGAUUAAGGCGAUGGACUAAAAAUCCAUUGGGCUCUGCCCGCGCAGGUUCGCAUCCUGCAGACUACG
rnacentral:tRNA from 1 species